CCUACGGGUGGCAGCAGUAGGGAAUAUUGCUCAAUGGGGGAAACCCUGAUGCAGCAACGCCGCGUGGAGGAUGAAGGUUUUCGGAUUGUAAACUCCUUUUGUUAGAGAAGAUAAUGACGGUACCUAACGAAUAAGCACCGGCUAACUCCGUGCCAGCAGCCGCGGUAAUACGGAGGGUGCAAGCGUUACUCGGAAGUACUGGGCGUAAAGGGGGCGUAGGCGGAGGAGCAAGUCAGGUGUGAAAGACUGGGGCUUAACCACGGAAGUGCAGUUGAAACUGUUAGGCUAGAGUGCAGGAGAGGUAGGUGGAAUUCUUGGUGUAGGGGUGAAAUCAGUAGAUAUCAAGAGGAAAAC
rnacentral:rRNA from 1 species